rnacentral:rRNA from 1 species
AACGAACGCUGGCGGCAUGCCUAACACAUGCAAGUCGAACGAGACCUUCGGGUCUAGUGGCGCACGGGUGCGUAACGCGUGGGAACCUGCCUUUAGGGUCGGAAUAACUCAGAGAAAUUUGAGCUAAUACCGGAUGAUGUCUUCGGACCAAAGAUUUAUCGCCUUUAGAUGGGCCCGCGUUGGAUUAGCUAGUUGGUGGGGUAAAGGCCUACCAAGGCGACGAUCCAUAGCUGGUCUGAGAGGAUGAUCAGCCACACUGGGACUGAGACACGGCCCAGACUCCUACGGGAAGCAGCAGUGGGGAAUAUUGGACAAUGGGCGAAAGCCUGAUCCAGCAAUGCCGCGUGAGUGAUGAAGGCCUUAGGGUUGUAAAGCUCUUUUACCCGAGAUGAUAAUGACAGUAUCGGGAGAAUAAGCUCCGGCUAACUCCGUG